UCAGAAGCGGGUGAUCUUGGUUAUCCCAUAAUCGGUGCGAUGAUUUUAUAGCCAAUUAAUUAAUUAGACUAAUGGCUGUGUUUUUAUCUAAAUUUUAUAAAUCGCGUUUUUAUGAAAAAAUUUUUAUUAAAAAUCGUGGUUUGUCACAAACGUCACACAUUAAUCAUUUGCACGUUCUACUAAAUUGUCAGUGAUAAAAACCCUCAAUCAUGCAGUAUUUCGAUGGAGCGGCUUUGGAAGAAUUAAUGAACAUGAUCCAGUCAAAAGACGAGAUGCAGGCAAUAUUUUUCCUAAGUCUGUGUUUUCUAGGAGCUUGGGUUGCCCUAUCUUGGAUGAUUCAGUUGCUCCGGUCCAUUUUGUGGAUUUGGCCCUUGUUUCUCCUCACUGCACUUUUACUAGCCUUGCCAUCACUUCGAAUGACUUUGACGCAAGAAAUUAUCCCGAAACAAGUCGACGAUCUUAUCACAAUCAUCGAUAACAAGUACUACCACCAUUAUGACAACGACAGUGUAAAGUGGUAUUAAAACAUAUUUGUGACGAGCUUUUGAAUAAAGUUUCCAAUACUGAGCCGACAA